rnacentral:sRNA from 1 species
UCGUCGUCUGGAUGCCCGCAUUGGUGGCAU